AUGUGUAUGAUGACAUUGUCUGAGACCUUUCAUCAGCUUGCCUGAGUUCAAAUGCAUCCUGGGGUAUAACCUACGGAUUUCUUUCUUGACUUAAGCUGAUCCGAGUUGAAUUUCUGACACUUGAGACUGAAAGUGUCCUGACCCUUAUGUGUAGGAUCCAGGAGUGAGAAAUCAUUCAACAGAACUCUUGUGAGCAUGCUCUAUGUAGCUCUUCACUCAUUUCAAGCCCAGGCUACUUAUGAUGCAUGCCUGGCCCUUACACACUCUCAGGGUAGCUGUUUAUGAAGCAUAUUGGGGAAGAAUUGACUUUCUGAGUGUCUAAGGUUUGAGUUUCUUUGAUCAACUAGUGCUGGAGGAGCCAAAUAGUUAAGAUUGGGGAAACGGAAAGGAGGAGGAAGACCAUGAAGUAGGGCACCGGCUGAUCCUAGGAGCCGUCUGGGAACUGCAACUGCCGUGUGCCUAAAUGCAGGAAGGGCUGUCGCCUGAGGAUGUGCCUUCCUUCUGGAUGCCUGCCAUGUUUCCUGCUCACUGAUCCAAGCCUGCUGAAAUAUCAGUUUACCCAGAGAGUCAACGUACUUUUUUCACAGUGAGACCAAUUCAGAAUGCAAGUCUCCCCAUUUAUAGAAGAAGAGAAUUGUAUGAGAUCAGUCAGCAUCUGAUUGGAGACCGGACAAGAUUAACCCAGAAGGAACCUAAGAAGGAAGACAGGAGAAGGAUAGAGCUUUAUCUUGAAGCCAGAGGAGAAGAGCAUUUCAAAAUAGAAUGGUUGGUAAACAGUGCCAAAUUC
rnacentral:lncRNA from 13 species